UACGUAGGGGGCAAGCGUUGUCCGGAAUCAUUGGGCGUAAAGAGCGCGUAGGCGGCCCGAUAAGUCCGCUGUGAAAGUCACAGGCUCAACCUGUGAAAGCCGGUGGAUACUGUCGGGCUAGAGUCCGGAAGAGGCGAGUGGAAUUCCUGGUGUAGCGGUGGAAUGCGCAGAUAUCAGGAGGAACACCUAUGGCGAAGGCAGCUCGCUGGGACGGUACUGACGCUGAGGCGCGAAAGCGUGGGGAGCAAACAGGAUUAGAUACCCCAGUAGUCC
rnacentral:rRNA from 1 species